rnacentral:rRNA from 1 species
CCUACGGGUGGCAGCAGUAGGGAAUCUUCCACAAUGGACGAAAGUCUGAUGGAGCAACGCCGCGUGAGUGAAGAAGGGUUUCGGCUCGUAAAGCUCUGUUGGUAGUGAAGAAAGAUAGAGGUAGUAACUGGCCCUGAUGUGACGGUAAUGACUUAGAAAGUCACGGCUAACUACUAGCCAGCAGGCGGGGUAAUACGUAGGUGGCAAGCGUUGUCCGGAUUUAGUGGGCGUAAAGCGAGUGCAGGCGGUUCAAUAAGUCUGAUGUGACAGCCGUCGGCUCAACCGGAGAAUUGCAUCAGAAACUGUUGAACUUCCGUGCAGAAGAUGAGAGUGGAACUCCAUGUGUAGCGGUGGAAUGCGUAGAUAUAGGGAAGAACACCCGUGGCGAAGGCGGCUCUCUGGGCUGCAACUGACGCUGCGGCUCGAAAGCAUGGGUAGCGAACAGGAUUAGAUACCCCAGUAGUC